UACGGAGGGGGCUAGCGUUGUUCGGAAUUACUGGGCGUAAAGCGCACGUAGGCGGAUCAGAAAGUCAGAGGUGAAAUCCCAGGGCUCAACCUUGGAACUGCCUUUGAAACUCCUGAUCUUGAGGUCGAGAGAGGUGAGUGGAAUUCCGAGUGUAGAGGUGAAAUUCGUAGAUAUUCGAAGGAACACCAGUGGCGAAGGCGGUUCACUGGCUCGAUACUGACGCUGAGGUGCGAAAGCGUGUGGAGCAAACAGG
rnacentral:rRNA from 1 species